CCUACGGGAGGCAGCAGUGGGGAAUAUUGGACAAUGGGCGAAAGCCUGAUCCAGCAAUGCCGCGUGUGUGAAGAAGGCCUUCGGGUUGUAAAGCACUUUUGUCCGGAAAGAAAUCCUUGGCUCUAAUACAGUCGGGGGAUGACGGUACCGGAAGAAUAAGCACCGGCUAACUACGUGCCAGCAGCCGCGGUAAUACGUAGGGUGCGAGCGUUAAUCGGAAUUACUGGGCGUAAAGCGUGCGCAGGCGGUUUGCUAAGACCGAUGUGAAAUCCCCGGGCUCAACCUGGGAACUGCAUUGGUGACUGGCAGGCUAGAGUAUGGCAGAGGGGGGUAGAAUUCCACGUGUAGCAGUGAAAUGCGUAGAGAUGUGGAGGAAUACCGAUGGCGAAGGCAGCCCCCUGGGCCAAUACUGACGCUCAUGCACGAAAGCGUGGGGAGCAAACAGGAUUAGAUACCCUGGUAGUCCACGCCCUAAACGAUGUCAACUAGUUGUUGGGGAUUCAUUUCCUUAGUAACGUAGCUAACGCGUGAAGUUGACCGCCUGGGGAGUACGGUCGCAAGAUUAAAACUCAAA
rnacentral:rRNA from 1 species